UUUUUCCCGCCUUAAAUAUCAUUAACUCGUUUUGUAUGGAUCCCAUUAGAAGUCCAUAGUUAAGCAUGCUUAGGUGAGAGUGGUAUCAAAAUGAGUGACCUCAUGGGUAGUCUCCACCGGGACAACC
rnacentral:rRNA from 1 species